CAACAGCUCAAAUUUGAAAUCUGGCUCUUUUAGAGUCCGAGUUGUAAUUUGCAGAGGGCGCUUUGGCUUUGGCAGCGGUCCAAGUUCCUUGGAACAGGACGUCACAGAGGGUGAGAAUCCCGUACGUGGUCGCUGGCUAUUGCCGUGUAAAGCCCCUUCGACGAGUCGAGUUGUUUGGGAAUGCAGCUCUAAAUGGGAGGUACAUUUCUUCUAAAGCUAAAUAUUGGCCAGAGACCGAUAGCGCACAAGUAGAGUGAUCGAAAGAUGAAAAGCACUUUGGAAAGAGAGUCAAACAGCACGUGAAAUUGUUGAAAGGGAAGCGCUUGCAGCCAGACUUGCUUACAGUUGCUCAUCCGGGUUUCUACCCGGUGCACUCUUCUGUAGGCAGGCCAGCAUCAGUUUGGGCGGUAGGAUAAAGGUCUCUGUCACGUACCUCCUUUCGGGGAGGCCUUAUAGGGGAGACGACAUACUACCAGCCUGGACUGAGGUCCGCGCAUCUGCUAGGAUGCUGGCGUAAUGGCUGUAAGCG
rnacentral:rRNA from 1 species